CGAAAUUCAACAGUAAAACCAGUUCAAGCAACGACACCACAACGACAACAAAUCAGUUGAGCUUUUGAAAACGACGGUGGAAGGUGUACGUUUUAUGCGCGCGUGUAAUUUUUAACUAUUGUUUAUUGCAAUUCAAUUAAAAUAUUAGCAAAAAUUAUUACAAUUAUUACCAAAAGAAUAUCGUAAAAAUAAUUACAACAAAUAUUCGAUUGACACUACGUCAAGUGUUUUUGUUUAGUGCGUUGAUUUUUAUUGUCUUUAACGGUUCUUCUUUAUUUUAUCGAAAUUUUCGCAUUUUUAAUUGGCGUUAACUACUUUCGACGUUUGAAGACGAGAGAUAACGAAAUUUUACUGCUACAGUUUUUAAAAAAAUAAAAAAAAUCACUUAAUAAAGAUUUUAUGUUUAUAUACAACGAAAAAACAAAAGGAAAAAAUACGUAAAUUAAUCGCGAAUUUAUUUACCAGCCUUGAAAGACGGAUUUCUCCAUUGAACUUUUAUGCGAAGAGAUAUAAUUCAGCCUAAAACCACAUUCAGCCUAAAAUAUAU